AUGGUAUGGUACCUGAGGCUACUACUACCUCUCUUCUUUCCAGUUUUGCUCGUGAAAUUCCUUUCCGACAUGAACAGCAACGUACGAGCCUCAGGUAUCGACCAGAUUGGUGUGGACAUCAAGGAUGGGAAGAUCACGGUCGUCGGCAGCGUCGACCCCGUCAACCUCGUGGGCAAGCUGCGAAGGUCGUUUGCGAACGCUCGGUUGGUCUCCAUCGGGCCCACCAAGGAGGCGUACGAGUUUACAUUUACAGUUGGUCCUGGUGGGCCCGGAGUAAUUUACAAGAAGAUCGUGAUGAAGGUGGGGCCACAUGACGACCGAGACAAGCAGAAAACGCUCGGUGCACUCGCCGCUCUAUAUGGUAUCGAACAGGAUUGGUGUGGACAUGAAGGUUGGGAAGAUCACGGUCGUCGGCGUCUCUGA
rnacentral:rRNA from 1 species